rnacentral:misc_RNA from 1 species
UUGGUUUGUUACCGGUGGUUGGCUCUCUGCUUUUGCAACAACUCCACCUGGCAUUCCUCUUCAGUUUGCGUAUGGGUGUACCUUGCGCGCUUUUGGUUUCCUGUGUUGCUUACCUAUUAGACGGUAUUGAUGGAUAAUAUUGUGUUGUUUUGUCUUGCGUCGUUCUCGCGCGAGAUAAAUCUUAAGGCAAAUUCUAUGAUCCACUUUGUUGACGUGCAGCGUCGAUGUCGUGGCUCAUUGAGUUUUGCUUGGUGUCAUGGAUGCAGAAAAUGAUAUGGGCGAGGGGUCUGCGGUCCUUCUUUGCCCUUGUUGAACGUUGUUACGUCUCUAAGAUGACUCCCUAGCCCGAAUUGGCUCGUCCACCGGGUAGGCGAUGUUGUUGAAGAGAAAUGACGGCGUUCUUGCUUCUCUAAGUCGAACGGCCUUGCCUGCAUGGGCUUGUACCGGCGGGUGGGCUAUGUCGAAGAGGGAUGCUACCUGGUUGAUCCUGCC